UACAGAGGUCUCAAGCGUUGUUCGGAUUCAUUGGGCGUAAAGGGUGCGUAGGCGGCGGGGCAAGUCGGAUGUGAAAUCUCAGGGCUCAACCCUGAAACUGCAUUCGAUACUGCCUUGCUCGAGGACUGGAGAGGAGAUUGGAAUUCACGGUGUAGCAGUGAAAUGCGUAGAUAUCAGGAGGAACACCGGUGGCGAAGGCGGGUCUCUGGGCCGUAACUGACGCUGAGGAGCGAAAGCAUGGGGAGCGAACAGG
rnacentral:rRNA from 1 species